UACGUAGGGUGCAAGCGUUAAUCGGAAUUACUGGGCGUAAAGCGUGCGCAGGCGGUUUUGUAAGUUUGUCGUGAAAGCCCCGGGCUCAACCUGGGAAUUGCGAUGAAGACUGCAAGGCUUGAAUCUGGCAGAGGGGGGUAGAAUUCCACGUGUAGCAGUGAAAUGCGUAGAGAUGUGGAGGAACACCGAUGGCGAAGGCAGCCCCCUGGGUCAAGAUUGACGCUCAUGCACGAAAGCGUGGGGAGCAAACAGGA
rnacentral:rRNA from 1 species